rnacentral:rRNA from 1 species
AUUGAACGCUGGCGGCAGGCCUAACACAUGCAAGUCGAACGAGUGGCGGACGGGUGAGUAAUGUCUGGGAAACCGCCUGAUGGAGGGGGAUAACCACUGGAAACGGUAGCUAAUACCCCAUACCAUCAGAAGUGCCCAGAUGGGAUUAGCUAGUUGGUGGGGUAACGGCUCACCAAGGCGACUAUCUCUAGCUGGUCUGAGAGGAUGACCGGCCACACUGGAACUGAGACACGGUCCAGACUCCUACGGUGGGCAGAAGUGGGGAAUAUUGCACAAUGGGCGCAAGCCGGAUGCAGCCAUGCCGCGUGUAUGAAGAAGGCCUUCGGGUUGUAAAGUACUUUCAGCGGGGAGGCGUUACCCGCAGAGGAAGCACCGGCUAACUCCGUGCCAGCAGCCGCGGUAAUAC